CCAGGGGUGGGUAUUUAUUUUUUAAUUGAUAUUUGAGGUUGGGUAAUCAAAUUUUUUGCUUUUUAAUGGUUGGGUCAGCAAAAUUUUUACCAGGAAAAACAUUUCUCUUCGGUGCCACCCCACAACAUAAAUAAUGACCCGUCCCUAAGGCCAAUGAAAAUUGAUAUCAUGUUUCUCGUCCACAAUUUUCAAAAAUUUGGAGCGGGAUUUUUUCAUUUUUCAUUAUUUUUGUGUUUGAAUUCUGCUUGUCAAUAGUUUCCUUGACCCAGUAAAAAAACCCAUAUGAUAUAAAUCUGAAGUCAAUCGGUGUACAAUUAUUUUAAUUUAUAAAUACCAGGGCUGACAUGAAAAAUAGAGGCAUUCUGGCGAGUAAUAUCUUUAGAAAGAUACAAUUUGAGUUGCGCUUGCGGAAUGCAGCAAUAAGACUUUGAUCUGGAGAAGAAUUUGGUGUUUUGUUAAGCCUAUUUUUCAAAAAUAAUGAAUUAUGAAAAUUUUCGUGCGGCAGAUAAAUCCCAUGCGGGCG
rnacentral:lncRNA from 1 species